rnacentral:rRNA from 1 species
UUCGGGGAGCCUUAUACAGGUGUUGCAUGGCUGUCGUCAGCUCGUGUCGUGAGAUGUUCGGUUAAGUCCGCUAACGAGCGCAACCCUCGCUGUGUGUUACAAGUGUCACACGGUACUGCCGGUCUUAAGCCGGAGGAAGGUGGGGAUGACGUCAAGUCAGCAUGGCCUUUAUGUCCUGGGCUACACACACGCUACAAUGGCCAACACAAUAGGUUGCUAAGCCGCGAGGUGGAGCCAAUCCUCAAAGUUGGUCUCAGUUCAGAUUGCAGGCUGCAACCCGCCUGCAUGAAGAUGGAGUUGCUAGUAACCGCAGGUCAGCUAUACUGCGGUGAAUACGUUCCCGGGGCUU